UAUUAUACUAAUGAGUAGUAGUGGCCUAAAUUAUUAAUAGAUAUAAUCUUUAAACUUGAAGAAUUUGGCGGUGGUUUAGUCUUGUUAGAGGAACUUGUUUUUGAAUCGAUAAUCCACGUAGAAUCUUACUUUCUUUACUAAGUUUGUAUACCGUCAUUAGCAGAUAAUCUUUUAAAAGAGAUAAUUGUUAAAAUUUAUAAUAAGAUAUAUUAACUUAGAUCAAGGUGCAGCUAAUAAAAAAGUUAAAAUGAGUUACAAUAAAAUUUAUUUAAACGGAUUAAAUGAUGAACAACAGAUAUAAAGGAGGAUUUAAUUGUAAUUAAGGUUUAAUAAGCUUUAAAGGUAUAAGCUCUAAACCAU
rnacentral:rRNA from 1 species